ensembl:lncRNA
GUCUGUGUGUGCUGGAAACUGGUGCAGCGGUGGGAGCAGUACGAGAGAAGGGUGUUACAUUUACCUCCUCACCACCUCAAGGUCAUCCACCACCUGGGCCUGUCAGAAACCAACAACGUGGACCUGUGUUCACCAGGAGGGCUCAUGUCACCUCACAGAUAACACGGAGCGAGCGAAACACGGCACUUGGAUAAAGAGAGAGAGAGAAAAGCUGAAAUCAUGCAGCGACGUUAGUCCCAGAGCCGUUAGAGAGGUAAUGACGAGUGGAAAGGUCACAAGGCAAUGAGUGAUAUGGGAAGUGAGGCAAAUCGACCAACAUGGCACUCUACCUUCGCCACACUGUGCGGUUUGCGAUUUGCACGGCGACGGCACGUAGCCUGGGUGAGAUGGUGGAGCUGUAGAAGAGUGCAGAUGAGUCACCGACAACAGCACCACCACACAACGGUCUGAUGGAGAAGAAGGUACAGGGCUUCACAUCCAGGGACUGAAAUAGCUGUGGUGUUCUUCUGUUCGCCUGCCUUUUACACUGCACCGAGUGGGAGGACACCACCACCACCACCACAGAGACAUGGAGCAGCUCUGUUGCUCCCACACACAGCCUUUCAAUAUCUUAUCACACUAUUCGUUCUGCUGUGUUUAGGUUCUUGAGGCGAGCGACUGCAAGUGUGUGUGUGUUUGUUUGUGCUUGUGUGUGUGUGCGUGUGUGUGUGUGUGUGUGUGUGUGUGUGUGUGUGUGUGUGUGUGUGUGUGUGUGUGUGUGUGUGUGUGUGUGUGUGUGUGUGUGUUAAGGGGAGGAUGUUGGUGGUGGUUGUGUGUACACAUACAUGCUCGUUACUGAUUAUAUCGGAAAUGACAGUUGCAUUUCUCGAAAACGAUGUAAAAAAUCAACUUCAAAAAAAACUUUCUAGUUUGUUAUUUUACUUAGUAUACUUUACUAAUAAGGAGUAUUAUUUCCCAACAGGUUUCCUAUUGAAUAGUGAAGAUGGUUCCCUUUGGUCGUCCGUCCACCAGAGGGCAGACUGGUACAGUGCAGAAAGAUACAGCGCACAGAGGAUGUCACAAAACAAUCUCAAGUCACCAAAAAAAAUGCUGCACAUUUGCAUGAAUCUCUAUUGUUAAAUUACUACAUACGUGAGUAAAGAGUGUUGUGUACAGCCAUCACUCAGUGCUCAUUCACUCAAGCAGGAAUGGUCUAAUCAAGCGUGUCGAGGGGUGUGAUUUUGUGCAUUAUUCAUAAUCAAAUUCCUCUAGACUACAUAAGGCCAC